GGAAUCUUCCACAAUGGGCGAAAGCCUGAUGGAGCAACGCCGCGUGUGUGAUGAAGGCUUUCGGGUCGUAAAGCACUGUUGUAUGGGAAGAACAGCUAGAAUAGGAAAUGAUUUUAGUUUGACGGUACCAUACCAGAAAGGGACGGCUAAAUACGUCNCG
rnacentral:rRNA from 1 species